UUCAUUGUGUUGCACUGUUUUUUAUUGUGAUGUUUGUGUGAGAACUAUUAUUUUUGAACCUUUUUCUAUCUUCUCCUACCUUUCUACAAAUUAUCCCCCAUCUAGCUCUAGGUAAGUCAUUACCAUUCAGGGUUUCAACAAUAGUUUUGUUAUCAAAACCAAACUCCACAUUCUGAAAACAACAAUCUAAGGCUAUUUACAUGGCUUUUUAAAGAGAGAAAGCUUUCACCAUUAAGAUGUCUUUGUUUCCCUUUAUGCUUUGAGAGAUAAUCGCGAGAGACUCACCUUCUCUUUAAGAGCUAAUCGCGAGAGCUUCACCUUAAAGUUCCUGUCAACCUUUGCAUGCUAAGCUAGCAUCCGAGAUGCAUUUUAUCCAACCAUUUCCAGGCAGUUUCCAGUGAAAUCUACGUUUAUUUUCACCAUCUAUUUUUCUAUUGUUAUCGUAGCACUCAUUGUCCAUAUUCUUGUUCUGAUUCUUCCUAAUAUUUGCCUCUUUUUAUUUUUACAUGUUGUUCUUCCGAUGCUUAUCUUCACUCUGCCUUUGCUUUCUGGUGACUAUGUGGUUGAUCUCUCCAUCUUCCUCCCCAUUUAUCUUGAGGUCAGUGUCAUGCUUCUUAAUAAUAACCUUGCAUUUCAAGUCGUUUUCCAUGGAGGUUUUGGUGAUGUCUGUAUAUUCGUUGCAAGUUUUAUGAUUAGCUUUGUUGAGCUUAGUUGUUUCCUUAAGAUUUCUGUUUAUUCCUUCGAACUCUUUCGUGUUGCUUCUAUGGUGAGUGUUAGAUUCUUGAUACUUGCUAAUUUUAUUAUUUAUGAUAUGAUGUUUGAUAUUUUUGAGGCUAUUCCUUGGUGUAUUAGUAUUAUCAUGAUGUUUGUGGCUCUCUGUGUUAGUGUUGCAUGUCUUAUCCUUGGCUUUUCUGGGAGAAGCAUUAUUGCUGAUCAUUAUUAAUGGGGAGCGAUCCUCAUAUUAUUUUUAUUGUGAUACCUAUUCUAGAGAAUAUGGAGGUCUUUAUCCUUGUUCUGAUGUUGAGGUAAGUUCAUAUGAAUUCUCUUGAUGUAAGUUUGGUUAAAAUGAGGGUUUAAACCUUUGUUAUUGUCCUUUUCAAUGUUUAGAUUAUUCUUGGUUGGCUUGUGUAAAAGGUGAUGGUCCUUGACCUUUUGACUAACUUGUCCUAUGACAUCAUUAGCAUUGAUGCUAGUGUUUUAAAAAACCAUGUGAUUGUUUAGCCAUCCAAAUGAGGUAUAUAAUGAUACAAAUUAAAUUUGUGUUGUAGUCAUCCAUGAUAGAGAUAAUGUCCUUAAGCUAGUAUCUGAAAUCAAUGUUGUUGUUGUGUUUUAUGUUGAUCUUUGAUCCAAACCAUCCAUGUUUGGACCAAAUUAAAUUUUGAAAGCAUUGAUUGAUGAACUCAAUACUAUAGUUACAUCUAGGGAACAUGGGAUUGCAUUGGAUUCCCCUAUUAGUUAGGUUUUCUUUAACAAUGAUAGAUCUAUGAAUGACUCUUCAUAUGAGGAUUUGUUGUUUAAGAGUGACCUUAUUGUUCCAUAUUUUCUUCCACAUAUUUUGUUCUUUAAUUUUAUCAGAUCAUUGAGGAUUCAUAGCUUUUCUCCAAUAUAUUAAGCUUUGAUAUCUAGAUUUAACGCUAUAGUUUCCAUUAGGGUUUUUAUUUAGCUAAUGACAUCUUCUUGAUCUACGAAAUGAAGAGGGAUAUAUAGAUAUUUUAUCUAUCAAUAGGAAUGUUGGUAUCAUUAAUAAGAGUUUGGCUCAAGAUAUUGUUUCCCUCUCAAUUAGGUUCCUAACUCCAAUUACCAUUGUUUCCAAGUGUUUUUUUUAUGUUAGGACUUUAUACUCUCCUUGAUAUGGGAUCCAAUUGUGCUUUCAAACCUUAAGUUUAUCUCCAUUCCUAAUAAUCCAAUAAGUUCCUUUUUUAAUUAUCCAGUUGUUCUUGUGAAUGCUUCUUCACAAGUAACUAGGGUUACAUCCUUGUUUAGCUGCAUGAAAUUGGUGAUAGGGUAGUACUUAGGUGUUAAAGUAUUGAUAACUAGAGAAUUAGGGCUAGUGAGGAGUAUUCUUCCUUGUUUGGCUAACAUGGCUUCAUUGAAGUCUCUAAGCUUCCUGAAGCCUAAUACACCUUCGUGCUUGUGGUUACAUAGAUCUGUCCACUUCCUCUAAUGUAGUUUCUUAUUGUUAUUAUUGUCACCCGCCAAAAAUUCUUUGUCAUCUUCUCAAUUUUUGUGCAAAUAGACUUUGGGGAUGAUGAAAGAUCUCAUUAUAUAGGUAGGUAUAACUUGGACCAUAACUUUAAUGAGAGCAGCAUGUCCUACAUAAGAUAAACAGUUAGUAUUCCAACCCAUAAAUUUUUUCCUAAAUCUAUCUAUGAGAAAUUGAAAAGUUUAUUUUUUGAGGGAUUUAUAUAGGUAGGGAGUCCCAAAUAGUUAUGGAUUUGGUAUGUGAUGGGAAUUAGUAUCCAUUUAAUGAAAGUUUAUUCUACUCUUGUAUGGAAUUUCUAAUACGUUUUUGCUAUAAAUAACAGCUUAAAACCAUUACUUAAAGAGGGAAAUAGUCCCUUUUUUUACGCGUUAUCAAGAUUAUAAAAUUUUGUUAAAAACCGUCCCAUAUUCACUUUAAGCAACACUUUAAUGUGAAUCUAUAUUUAAACAAAUACACAAUGUGAGUCUAUUUGAUGUGAGCUAUACUUAAACAAAUAUACGAUAUGAAUCUAUAUUUAAACAAAUAAUCAAGUUCUUUGAUGGCAAUUGAACAUUAUUAACUAUUGAGCAUUAGGAUUAUUUUUUUUGACAAUUUAGAUAUAGCUUAUAAGGUUAAUGCAUAUCCCCCCUAUCAUAUGGGUCAUUUUCAAAAAAUCCCCUAUAAAUUUUGUUAUGAAUUCACCAACAUUUGAAGAUUCUCUCACUUUUGACCUUCGUCGGGCCAACUCAUCAAAAAAGCUUAUGUGGCGCUAUUUUAAAAAAAAUCUUCAUUUAAUCUAAUUUCCACAUGUGUAUUAUGGUGUGUAAGAUGACAAAAAUGUCCCUAAUGUUAAAACAAAACAUUUAAAGAGUUGAGAGUGUGUAAUUCCCCAGUUAAAGAAAAAACCCUAACAUUUCAUCCCUUCUCUUUCGUCUUCAUUGUUCAUCCUUGUCCACCCUUGAAACAAAUUGAAGCAUUAAACAAACAACAUCUUUCAUAUCUUCCACGUCCUAUUUGUUUGUACGGGCCCUGUAGUGCAACAAAAAAUUACGAUUGUAAUAAGUUAAUCAAAUUUGCAGUGGUUCCAAUGCAUGUUGCAAUAACUUUUAGUAUUUCAAAUUUAGGUUUUCAAUGUGUGGGCAAAUUGUUGUUGUUUCCUUAAACUAUGAAUGUUAAACUUCUUAAUCGUAUUUUAACUUCGGGGUAUAUUUGUAAUUGCAGAAAUUGGUUUAUUUAGUGUGAUAUUUCCCCCAUAGGGGAAACUUUGUUCACGACAUGCACAUGUUUUAUAGAGGGGGAGUGAAACCAAUGUAGAAGGGCAAGAAUCUGAUAAGUGGAGUUUUUUCGAGGUAGUUAGCUUAGUUAAAGACUGGGUUUAUGAUGGAUUUAGACUUUGGAGAAAGAUACUAGGACUUGAUGAAGGGUUUAUUCACUUCAUUGAUGAUGUACAAGCUGAAAAAUUGUCUAAUCACAACCUUGGUAGUAAUGUUGAUGGGCAUAUCUGGGUAGAACAUGGUGUUGAAGACAAGAUAAGCAAGGUGUUAAAUCCUGAUGUUGAAUAAUUUAGUUAUUGUAGUGAUGAUUAUAGCACUGAUGAUGAUGAUGGGGGGAUAGGGUUUGAUGAUACCAAACUAUGGUGUAAAAAUUCCUUUAGUUUAUACCUAAGUGUGAUGUGUUGAUGAACAACCUUAGUGAGUCAUUUAAUAAUACAAUUUCACAAGCUAGGGAUAAACCAAUUUUGACAAUGUGUGAGUGGAUUAGGAACUACAUAAUAAAUAGGGUUCCUAACAGUUUGGUUAAGCUUGACAAAUGGAAACACAAUGUCAUGACCAUAUUUAGGAAAAGAUUAGAUAAGUAAAUUUUGUUGAGUGGUCAAUGGCUGCCAACAUGGAGUAAGGGUGAGUUAUGGCAAGUUCAUCACACAUAUAAUGGACUUCAGUUUGUAGUUGAUCUUGGGGAAAAAUUGUACAUGUUGCUUUUGGGACCUAGUGGGGAUACCUUGUAUACAUAUUGUGUCUGCUAUGUAGUAUCAAAAUUUGAACCAUGAAUCAUAUGUUGACUCAUCUUACAUGAGGGAGGCUUAUAAGGCCUACUAUGAAAACAAUGUCAGUCCAAUCAAUGGUAUGGACACAUGGCCAAAUGUGGACAUUGAGGACAUGUUGCCACCUCAGUAUAAGAAGGGUCCAGGUAGGCCUAAGAAAUUGAGGUUUAUAUAGCAUGAUAAAUCUGGAUCUAGGAUGAGCAGGCCUGGUGUAGCAUAUAGAUGCAUCGAGUGUGACAAAUUUGGCCAUAGUUCAAGGAAAUGUCAUAGCAAAGAACAUGAUCUUAAUGCAUUGAGGAGAAAGUUAUUGAAUCAUGUUUCUUAACUAUCAUUCUAAUUUUGAUAAUGUGUAAAAUGUUGAUGGUUGACAUAACUGUUUGCAAUAUCAACGUGUGUAGAGGAAAACACCAAGGACCAAUGCCUCUUAAACUGUUGCUGAAGUUGAAGGGGUGUCUAAGAAAAAUGCUCCUGAAAGUGUGCAUGGAAUAAAUGACUCAUAUUUAGAUGCACUGCUUAAAGAGACGAUGACAUCUUUUGAAGACCAAAAUGAUGAUGCACAAAUAGAGCAGACACAAUCUCAAGUGUGCAAUCCCACCCAUGAUGUUGCACAAACUGAGCAUACAUAAGAAGAAGAAGCUAACCAAGCAGUUCCUCAAGAAGUUGACAAAGUAGUUAAGAAGAAGAAAAAAGUUGCCAAAGUAGAUGAGAAGAAGACAUAAGUUUCCAAAGCAGUUGAGAAGAAGAAACAAGUUUUCGAGGAAGUUAAGAAGAAUAAACAAGUUACAAAGGAAUUUAAGAAAAAGAAGAAGAAGAAAAUUGAUGUGAAUAAUACAGAGGCACCUAAGAGGAGUAGUGAUAGGUUGAAAUCUAUUUGGAGGUCUAAAAAUAAUAUUGGGUCUGGUUAAACUUCAGCUGCAUCAUUGGUAGUUGAUGAGGACCCUUCUAUGAAGAAAAUGAGGCCAUGGGAGGAAACUUCAAGGAGAAUGACUUAGUAAUGCCUAUUAUUAGGUAUUUUGUAACUUAUUAGGAGAAUGACUUAGCAAUGCUUAUCUAAGAAACAUCUAUUUUGUAACUUCUAUGUUACACACAAUAUGUUCUACUUUUGGGAACAUCUUUGUAAUACACACUAGGUGCACAUUUUGGAUCAAAUAUAAUGAUUUUGUAACUUCUAUGUUAUGCACAAUAUAUUCUACUAUUA